rnacentral:lncRNA from 10 species
CAAAGAAAAAAAUUCUCAACAAAGAAAAACCCAGAACCAGAUGGUUUUACUGAAUAAUCCUACCAAACAUUUAAAGAAUAGGGAAUAUGAAUCCUUCUCAACUUCUUCCAAAAAAACAGAAUCAGAGAAAACUUCCAAAUUCAUUAUAUGAGGCCAGCAUUACCCUGAUACCAAUGCCAGACAAAGAUACUACAAGAAAAGAAGACUACAACCCAUAUCCCUGGUGAGUAUUGAUGCAAAAGUCCUUACCAAAAUACUAGUAAACCGAUUUUAACAGCACAUUAAAAGGAUUAUAUGCCACAACCAAGUGGGAUUUAUCACUGGGUUGCAAAGAUAGUUCAAUACACACAAGUCAAUAAAUGUAAUACACCAUAUUAAUAGAAUGAAGAAAAAAAUCAUGACUAUCAUAAUAGACAUAGGAAAAGUAUUUGACAAAAUUAAAUAACCUUUCCAUGAUAAAAACAUCAAUCUUGAGAAAGAAGAAUAAAGCUAGAGGCAUCACACUUCUUGAUUUCAAAACAUAUUUCCAAAGUCACAGUAAUCAAAACAGUAUAACACUGACAUAAAAACAGAUACGUAGACUGAUAGAACAGAAUAUAGAGUCCAGAAAUAAGCCCUCAUAUACAAGGUCUAAUGAUCUUUAAUAAGAGUUUCAAAACUGUACAUUGGGGAAAGGGUAGUUUCUUCAAUAAAUGUUGUUAGUAUGGACCCUUAUACCAUACACAAAAAUUAACUCAAAAAGAAGUUAAUUUUUUAUAAACAUCUAUAAAACUCCCAGAAGAAAGCAAUUAAAAAAUCAUGACAUUGAAAAGGGAAAUGGCUUUUUAGAUAUGAUACCAAAGCACAGGCAACAAAAGCAGAAAUAGAGAAAUAGGGUGACGUCAAACUAAAAAACUUAUGAAAUUGGAGAAAAUAUUUGCAAGAGAGAUAUUAGAUAAGAGGUUAAUAUCUAGAAUAUAUUUUAAAACUCCUUUAACUCAAUAACAGCCCCCUGAAUAAUAAAUAAUCAAAUUUUAAAAAUGAGCAAAGGAUUAAACAGACAUUUCUCCAAAGAAGAUACACAAAUGGCCAUUUAUUUGGAAAAAUGCUUAAAAUUAUUAAUCAUCAGGAAAAUGCUAAUCACAACCACCAUGAGAUAUCAUCUCAUACAUUAGGACUACCACUAUUUCACACACACACACACACACACACACACACACACACACACACACACCUCCCAUAAAACAAAAACAAAACAGAAGAUAACAAGUGUUGGCAAGGACAUGGGGAAAUGGGAACCUUGUGCACUGUUGGUGGGAAUGAAAAUGGUGUAGUGGCUCUGGAAAACAGCAUAGAGGUUCCAAACAAAAUUAAACAUAGAACUACCAUGUGAUUCAGCAGUCCUACUUCUUGAUAUAUAUCGAUGAGAAUUGAAAACAGGAUCUUGAAGAGAUAUUUGCAUGCCCAUGUUCAUUUAAGCAUUAUGCAGAAACGCCAAGAUGUGGAAGCAAACUAAAUGUCCAUUGAUGGAUGCAUGGAUUUUAAAAAAUAUGGUAAACACACACCCACAUACAUACACACUAGACUAUUAUUCAGCUUUCACCAAGAUAGAAAUAACAGCUCUAUCAGGUGACACAACAAGAAUGAACCUGGAGGACAUUGUGCUAAGUAAAACAAACCAGAUGCAGAAAGACAAAUGCCGCAUGAUCUCACUUAUUUGUGGGAUCUAAUAUAGUCAAACCCGUUGAAACAGAUAGUAGAGUGGUGAUAACCAGGAGCUGGAGGGAGGAAGAAGUGGGGAGAAGUUGUCAAAGGGGUACGAAGUUUUAGUUGUGCAUAAUCAAUAUUUUUUUGAGAUCUGAUGAAUAGCAAUGUGACUAUAAUUAACAAUACUUUAUUGUAUAGUUGAACUUUGGUAAGAUAAUGUAUCUUAAGCAUUCUCACCAAAAAAAAAGGAAAAAAAGCAAGAAAGGAAUAAAGGGGAGAAAGAAAAUGGUAACUAUCUGAGAUGAUAGACAAAUUAUUGUGGUGAUUAUUCCACAGUGUAUAUGUAUAUUAAAUCAUCAAAUUGUGUACCUUAAAUAUAUAUAUUUAAAAUAUAUACAUUUAAAUAUAUACAUUUUAAAAAGUCAAAUGUGCAUUUAAAAAUACAUUUAAA